rnacentral:rRNA from 1 species
AUACGGAGGGUGCAAGCGUUACUCGGAAUCACUGGGCGUAAAGGGUGCGUAGGCUGGCUUCUAAGUCAGAUGUGAAAUCCAAUGGCUUAACCAUUGAACUGCAUUUGAAACUGGGAGCCUAGAGUUCAGAAGGGGCAGAUGGAAUUAGUGGUGUAGGGGUAAAAUCCGUAGAUAUCACUAGGAAUAUCAAAAGCGAAGGCGAUCUGCUGGGAUGAUACUGACGCUCGAAAGUGUGGGUAUC